rnacentral:miRNA from 1 species
AUGGGAACCAGUGACUCAUUG